ensembl:lncRNA
GUUGAGGAGCUCAUUAGCGGUAAAUGUAAACGGCUGGGUCUGCCGGUGGGUCUCAGGAAGUGAGACUCUGGGUAGAGACUCUCUGGAGGUGGCUCUCUGCAGGUGAACUGAGCGACGGGAUUCAAAGCACAGGCUGGUCAUUUGGAGACAAGGUGCCAGUGCGGCAUGUUAGGUGAGAGCUGUUUGCUGGGGCCUUUGGUUCUACUCUGGCUUCCCCCUCCCCAUCACAACCAACACCACCACCAACACCAUCCAGCCCUGACCCUCCACCAGUGACAUUACCAGGGAUGAGACAGCCCACACAAAGUAACGCGGUAUAUGUGGCGGUCGACUGCUAAAUCUGGGCUCCUGUCUCAUCCUUCCCGUGCUACUCGCAACAAUAUGGUCAAAAUUUGAGCCAUAUAAACUCUUCACAGGCGACCUCCAGAGCCUGGCCUCGGGAAGGAGUUGGAGGGUGAGGGCUUUCAUGCGGAAAAAGAUGGGGAACCUGUCACGGUGGCUGUGCGCCACAAUCCCUCGUCUCUGCCAGCAGGACACUACUUCUGUGGAGUUAUUGUGUGCAAAAUAGCAGAGCUGCUUUUGCUAGGUGCUAGCAUGGAGUUUGAGGUGGACGAGGUGGAGAUCAACUCCAUGCGCACAAUGGGCAGCAAUCUGAUACGCUUCAAUCAAUUAUUGGAUGUAGACCUCACCAAAACAUUUGCCUAUAGGCCUUCUUAAACCAUCGUGCAAUUUGAAAAUCGUGUAACAGAUGAACCGACAGAACUCAGUUGUUUUUUUUGUGGGGAGGAAGGCAUCACCUCAGAGGCACCUGUUGACCAUUGGGCAGUAGAGAAAAAAUAUCUAAUUGAUCUAUCUUCUUUCAG